rnacentral:rRNA from 1 species
UGGCGAACGGGUGAGUAACACGUGGGUUAUCUGCCUUGCACUUCGGGAUAAGCUUGGGAAACUGGGUCUAAUACCGGAUAGGACAGCUGUUUAGUGUCAGUUGUGGAAAGUUUUUUCGGUGCAAGAUGAGCUCGCGGCCUAUCAGCUUGUUGGUGGGGUAAUGGCCUACCAAGGCGUCGACGGGUAGCCGGCCUGAGAUGGUGUACGGCCACAUUGGGACUGAGAUACGGCCCAG